GACGAACGCUGGCGGCGUGCCUAAUACAUGCAAGUCGAACGAACCGCGACUAAGUGCUUGCACUAAGUCAAGGUGAGUGGCGAACGGGUGAGUAACACGUGGGUAACCUACCUCAUAGUGGGGGAUAACAGUCGGAAACGACUGCUAAUACCGCAUAGGACAUAGGAUCACAUGAUCCAGUGAGGAAAGGUGGCGCAAGCUAUCGCUAAGAGAUGGACCCGCGGUGCAUUAGCUAGUUGGUAGGGUAAAGGCCUACCAAGGCGAUGAUGCAUAGCCGACCUGAGAGGGUGAUCGGCCACAUUGGGACUGAGACACGGCCCAAACUCCGACGGGAGGCAGCAGUAGGGAAUCUUCCGCAAUGGACGCAAGUCUGACGGAGCAACGCCGCGUGAGUGAAGAAGGUCUUCGGAUCGUAAAGCUCUGUUGUUAGAGAAGAACAGCGCAUAGAGUAACUGCUAUGCGUGUGACGGUAUCUAACCAGAAAGCCACGGCUAACUACGUG
rnacentral:rRNA from 1 species